rnacentral:lncRNA from 1 species
UCAAUUUCAAAAGCCAAAAGGUCAUUCAACUCUCUAAACCGUAAUUUUCUGUUUGUUUCCCGAGAAAAUCCAUGAAAAUGAACCGUUAAGUGUAGCAUUUUUAGCAUGUUAUGGCUGAAAAUUUUCAACUUCAUCUGUUGCUUGUUCCUCUCGAAAUGUGAAAUCUUCUAAUUUUGAUUUUUGACACAAAUUCGAAUUGAGUUUUCUAAUUCGAUAUAUCGAUCUCUUGUUAUACAAUUCCUAUGUGUGAUAGAAUCCUGUGCUUCACUUCCUUUGCGUAUAAUUGCAAAUUUUUUGGGUUCUGUUUCUCUUGGAAUUUAGGUUUGCAUCCAAAGAGCAUAACUUAUUAAUUUGUACAGGAGCUUCUGAAAUAAUGAAAGCUUCUUGCUUGACUCCUGAAUUUGGAGUUCAUUCUCUGACCAAUUUUUUUCUUAAUGGUUAAUUAGUUUUUGAUUGAGGCUUGGUUUUUUUGUGCAUGCCAUUUGUUUGCUUUCGUGCCCUCAUUUCAUUUGAGUUCAAAUUUUCUCCAUAUUCAUUUUGCGUGUCUCCAUUUUGUUUCUUGUUUACAAAGGAGAUGAAGAGUUAAGUUAGAAUUUACAAUUAGCUGCUCGUGAUCUAAUUUUCACUCGUUUUUUGUUUGGGAUUAGGUCUGAGCUAUUUGAUGACCAAAACUCUGUAAACUUCUAUGAACAAUGAACCUUUGGAGUUUCAAUGGAUUGAAUGAGUAUCUAUUGGCAUCAUCAUUUUCGAAAUCUGUUGUAUGGAAGCUUUUGCUGAGUUCUGUCAACUAUAGUAAAGCAUGGAACUUCACCUAAGGAGGCAAUUCACCAAGUUGGCUUUCAGAUUUUUAAGUUGAAUAUUCUUACUGCAUUUUAUUUGGCUGCGUGCAUUAGGAUUGUUUACUUAAAAACUUUUUGUUGUAGAGGUAAAUGGAAUAUUGGCUUGGCGUGUAAUGAGGUGGUGAUGCAAAGACUACAAGAAAGAAUAAAGUCACCGGGCUAUACUUGUUCUUAGUAUUGAUGUUAGUCAUGGCCGGCCUUUUCGUCAAUUGGAUAUCAAUAACGCCUUUCUUCGAGGUCAGCUUUCCGAAGAAUUAACACUUAAAAUUUGUAAACAAAGAUUUAGAAUAUUAAACAAAAAAUUUAACAAAACAAUAAAGUCACCGGGCUAUAUAUACCGUACAGUCAUGUUCUGCACUCUAUAGAAUGACUUCCAAUUCCAUGCUUGAUUCUUGGUAAUGGUGAUGGCAUGUAUACUAUUCAAACUAAAGUUGAUGGUGCUUUGGAUAAUUGACAGAGUAAGGAAUGUGAACAAUAUUUAUUCAAAUGACUUGUCAAGCGAACGGAUAGGUAUCCUUGACAAUUUGCAAGCAGGAUUUGUUUUGUAGCCAUUAUAGUAUUUUGUAGAUAUUGCGAAUUAUUUGUGAGGUACUGAACUGAUUGAUGUUCUAAUUAGAGAUAAAACACAAAUAAUUGAUUAUGUUUUACUUAACAUACUAUUUACAUAGCAUUAGACCAGAAAAGUCAUCAAUGAUAUUUUGGGUGGCCGAAAAAGAAUGAUAUUUAAAAAAAAAAAACAAACAAACAAAAUUAACCAGAUUCAUGGAUUACACAUUUUUUUUCUUUUUUUCUUUUUUUAAAUUGGACGGUGGUUUGGCAAUCAAAGUAUGCGGGGUUUGACCUUCUAGUACUUGCACAAAUACUAUGAGAAAACUAAAUAAAAUUCAAACCUAUUUGUAAGUAAAAUGACAGUAACAUUCAAUGAGAGUAAAAAAAAAAAGAAAGAAAGGAAAAAUAGAAGAUAUCAUCAGUAAAAAUUGUCAAGUUGCACUAAUUUAUAACUUCAGAAAUUUUUAGUAUGAAGGUAUAAUUGACCAUACAAAAUAAAAGCUUCAGAAAAUGGAUUAAUCAAGAAUAUAUCUUUCUAAAUUAACUUUCGCGUCAUUUUCUGUAAAGAGUGCUACUAUUCCAGUCUAAUUAUAUAUAUAUUCUUACGGGAAAUUUAUGUGAGCAUUAGUUUGACUCUAAUGUUCUUCUCGUUCGUCUUUUGGCAGGAAAUUAAAUCACUUUUCACGAAGAAGAUAUAAAUAAAGCAUCAAUUUGAAAAAACAGAGAAAAUUUUGACAGCAAAAAGUAGUCGAAAACCAGAGCAUCAAUUCGACCCCACCAAAAAUACUGCAUGUAUAUAAAUUUCCCGUAACAUGUAUCACACAUUUAAUUGUGAUUUGCAGUGUACCAAAAAUACUGCAUGUAUAUUACCCGUAACAUGUAUCACACAUUUAAUUGUGAUUUGCAGAAGACAGAAGAAAAAUACACUGGAAUAAAACAUAAGCGUUAACAAAAACGCACUCACCAGAAAUCAAAUUUUGCGACCACGGCUCAGGAAUAAGGUUGGAAACAGGAACGAAAAGCAAUUUGAGUGGCUUCAUCCUCCCAUUGAAGUCGGUUCCACCAGUCUGCUUCUCCACGAAUAACAAAUUUACGCUCUUUUGCACUGCUGGAAUCGAGUGGAAGCUUUUCAAGCUGAUCACAUGCUCUUACCCCCAUUUCUUUCAGAUGAGUGAAAGGCAAUGGCUUCCAGUGGAUGCUCUUCAAAUCUGGCAAAUCUUCUACAUGAAGCCUUUGGAGAUUUUCAAAAGGGCUCAUAUGUCGCAUCAUCUCAGGAACCUCGGAAAAUUUUCCAACGCUGAUUAUUUCUUCCAUAGCAUGGCAAUUACGUAGCACAAGAGACUUGAGGUUUGGAGCAAAAACGAGGAAUGUCGAAUCUUUCAAUUUAGCGCACCGCCAUAUAGUAACAUGGUGAAGGCUGCGGAAAACAAAAGGUUCCCGCCUUUUUCGUACUAUCUCCGUAUAAUCAAUCUUCAAUUCUUCCAACUCAAAACCUUUAUUAAUAUAUAAUUCAUUGAGGUGGUUUAGAUCUGCGAAAGCCGUAGCAUCAACAAUCGACGUUGCAUCUCCGGCCAACUGGAGGAAAAGAGAUCGAAUACAACUUUUUAACUUAUUUGAGCUCAAAAGAAUUUGGAGAGCAUGAUAACUUCCCAAGGUCAACUCCAAUACCUCUAAAUAUUUCAAACCGAGCAAUUCCUGUAUCAAAACUUCACCCCCACCAAAUAAAACGCUGUCUUCUGACGCUUGAUGAAAAUUCAAAAGGCCAGUACCCAACAUUCUCAACACACGUAACCUUGAAGAAUUUGAUAUUAGUUGCCGUGGAAUUUUAUUUAACUCAAAUGUCCACCUCAAAGUCAAACAUUUCAGAUUUACCAACAACUUUAACUCUUCUGGUAACUCUCUUAUGCCAGUAUGCGAAACAUCAAGAAGUUCUAGUGAACCUAACUUUGACAUCCCCAAAGGUAAUUUCAAAGUUAAAUUCACGCAGUUUGACAUCUUCAAAACUUUGAGAGAAGGCAUAAGUUGGAAGAAGCCAUCCGCGAUCAUAUUCAAAUUUUCAUUGAAGUCAAGAAAUAAAGUGAGGAGAUGAGGGCAUGUAGGAACCUCUGACAAAGUUUCAAUUUGGUUUUGCAUCAGUGACAAUCUUCUCACAUUUUCCCAUCUUUUAACAUCCGGUGCCUCCUUUAGUCCCUCACCUGCACAAACCAAAAAGUUUCUCUUCUCCUUCUCAAUUUCACAAGUUAUCCAUAGAGCCAUAUCACGAACAACGUCAUGCAUUUUUACUUCAUCAUCUUCCACCUCUUCUAAUAAACAUGCACGAACAAGUGUGUCCAAAAUGUCAUAUCCUUGGUUUUCUGCACCAAACCUGUCAGAUUCCCCUAAAAAUCCCUCACCAAUCCAACAAUCAAUCAAGUCCCAUUUAAGAAUGCCAAAAUCUUCAGGAUAUAAACAACAGUACAAGAAACAAGAUCUAACCGUAUCAUUCUGCAAACUAUCAUAGCUGAAUUUUAAAAGAGGAUACACCUCUUUUCCCAAACCUGCAAACUCUGAAGCUGAUCUUCUUAACUCUUCAAUUGCACGUCUCCAAUGCUCCGCUUUCUUUCUGUAGGCCAUAGCUCGACCAAUAGUAUUGAGCUUUAAGCCUCUGUAUGACGUAUUUGAUUUCCCCUUUGUUGUGAUUUAAAUAAUAAUAUUGCUGCGGAAAGCCUUUGGUCCGAGUGAAUGAAUAGCAUGACUCUUGAAUAAAACUACAGAUUUUAAUUAAGAUGGGUAUGAAGAUAAGUACUAUUAAUGGAAAAACUAGAGAAUGAAAUUCUUGGAAAUUAAAAAAAAAAAUUCAAUUCUUCCCCAAAAAAAUUAAAUUAUGAGGUUGAUAAUAAAAAAAUUUACAAUAGCUUUCAAUAUUUUUAAGUUAUUAAAUUUCUGCAAAAAUGAAUGAAAAAAAAAAUUACUUUGUUGGUCCGUUGGAUAUGACUUAAAGUAAGAAAUGGAGUUUGAUUACAUAUAAGGAGCUAAAUAAUUGAUUUUACCUUAAAAAAAAAUAAAAAAAAAAGAGCAUUUCUUUGUUGUCGUAUUUUUCUAAUAGUAUUUAAAAAAAAUUAAAGGCUGCAAAUGACAAUAAAAUAUUCUUUAUUAUUCUUUUUUCUUAUAAAAAAAAAAGUUAAUAGUGAUAUCUCUUUCCUAUUUUACCCUCGCAAACUAAUAAAAUUUGCUAAUCCAAUACCCUAUUAAAACCCGCACUUUCGCUUUCCCUCUUCCAUUUUGGCGCGCGAUCUCUCUAAAUCCAUGGAAAUAAACCGUUAAUUGUGGCAUGUUAUGGCUGAAAAUUUUGCAUCUGACCUGUCGCUUGUUCCUCUCGAAAUGUGAAAUCUUCUAAUUUUGAUUUUUGAGACAAAUUUGAAUUGAGUUCUUCUGAUUCGAUGUGUCGAUCUCUUGUUAUACAAUUCGUACGUGUGAUAGAAUGCUGUGCUUCACUUCCUUGGCGUAUAAUUGCAAAUGUUUUUUUUUCUUAAUGGUUAAUUAGUUUUUUAUUGAGGCUUGGUUUGUUUGCGCAUGCCAUUUGUUUGCUUUCGUGCCCUCAUUUCAUUUGAGUUCAAAUGUUCUCCUUAUUCAUUUUGCGUGUCUCCAUUUUGUUUCCUGUUUACAAAGGAGAUGAAGAGUUAAGUUUGAAUUUACAAUUAGCUGCUGUCCUGUCAAGUAUAGUAAAUCAUGGAACUUCCCCUAAGGAGGCAAUUCACCAAGAUGGCUUUCAGAGUUUUAAGUUGAAUAUUCUUACUGCAUUUUAUUUGGCUGCAUGUAUUAGGAUCAUUUACUUAAAACUUUUUGUUGUAGAGGUAGACGGAAUAUUGGCUUGGUGUGUGAUGAGGUGGUGAUGCAAAGACUUUAAAUCGAAAGAAAUGCCUGUAACUUUGCAAGAUGAUUAUAGACCCGUGAAUUAACCGGCCAGACUACAAGAAAGCUUUCCAUAACAAAUGAGGGACCUGUACUGAUUUUCAUCAAUAAAUAUUACAGUUGAGGAAAAAAUGCAAUGCCAUUUGUGCUUGGAGAAAUACACUGCAUCUGAUUUGUUUAGUCUUCUUGAAUGUUUUUGUGCAAAGUUCUAAUUGCUUAAAUGUUU